rnacentral:lncRNA from 1 species
AUGUGCAAAAGUAUUUUGAAAUGGUUGACUUUGCUCUAUUUAUAUGAGACCAAAAAGUUCCUCCAUUAAUGCUUCCAACGGAUAAAAGGCAGUUGAACAGUCAACUAGCCGUUAGUAGUGUCGGACGUCCGGUAAUCUUGUUUCUUGCGUCUAACAGCAGGCAGUGAGCAAAAGAGAUUUUUUUUAAUUCAUUCGAACGUCCAGUGGCUUCAUAAUUUGUGUCCGAAAGUAGAUAAUAAAAUUGAGAAUUUUUCUUCAAUGCUUUCGGACGUUCGGUACCUCCAAUGCUCUAUGUCCGAAGUGUUGCGCAGAAUAUCGGACGUCCGGUGCUGUGAUAUUUUACGUCCGAUCGAGGUCAAUGAGCUUAGGAAAAAUAUUUUAAUUUUUUUGGACGUCCGGUGAUGAAGUUCUUCAUGCGUCCGAAGUUCCUCAAUAAUUGUCAGACGUCCGAUCCAAUCUUUACGUGCGUCCGACAGCUUCAGCAAUUUUUGCCUCUUUCAAUUGCGCUUAAUUUUUGAACCUAAUUUGCUUCAAUUCUGAAAAGGUCUUUGAGGAGAGAUUAGUAGCAUCCAUUUGUUUUGUAAUCAUCAAAAUCUAAAGACUGAGAUUAACACUAUCACUCUUAGAAAUGGUAAAAUGGUUGAGGGACCUAAUGUUGGAAAUUCAAGUGAUAAAAAAGAUACGGAGCAGGCAAUUAAAUGAGUAAAAGAAAGCCAAAAUGAUCAUGUUGUAAUUGAUAUAGAUGUACCUCCUCCUAAUUUAAAUUUUAAUGUGUUUUCUUUUCCUCACAGGUUAAAGAAAGAGGGGAAGGAUCAGGAGUUUGAGAAGUUUUUCAAAAUUUUUAAAUAAUUGCAUAUUAACAUUCAUUUCAUUGAUAUUAUUACAUAGUGUCACACCCCAUUUUUUGAAAAAUAAAUAAUGUUACGGGUUUAUAAAAUUGAAUUUUGAUUAAUUUUGAGUGAAAAUGAGUUUUUGAUUUGUAGAGAUUAAAUAAAGAAAAUGGGCCUAAAUGGGACUUAAAAAGUGCGACGAUUUUGACCCAAAAAUAAAAGUCUAAAAAGGAAGAAAAAAUAGGAGUCGUCACUUGGUAUUCAGUUAAGGUGUACCAAGUUAUCCAAAAUGAAUUUUAAAUAAAAAUAAAAAAAAUCCUUUUUAAAUGACUCCAAAUCUGCGAAAAUCAAGAGAAAAGAACUCGGGAGUCACGGUUGAAGAAAGGGAAGGUAAGAAUAAAAUUCAAGAUAUCCUUUCAACCUAACCAAGACUAGUUGCAUGAUUUAGUCGAAAAAUUUUCUUAAUUUACCUAUAAAACUUUUCAAAUUUGAAGGUUACUACAUGGAUGCAAACAUAGGGAUAAGGGCUAUAUAUAUAGGGAAAAUAUCAUGCAAAUGGUAAAGAUCCUAAAAAAAAUAGAAAAUGUGCAUGAAAUGUAGUGAUUGUCACACAAACGUGAUCUAGCGAGUGGACGGUCCCUAAGGAUCUAGCAUUGGACUAACCCAUGUCUAUAAGUUCUCACUAGCAUUGGACUAGUGAGAAAUCGGAAAAAAGAGAGGUACAACUAGCGUUGGACUAGUGUAGUGACGUUAUAUAUUUAUUAUAAUCAAAUAAAUCAUAUAAAAUAUAAUAAAAGCAAGUAAACACAUAAAUCACAUAGAACACAUAACACAUAAGCAUGAUAUCUAGAUGCAACGACUCUAAGAAAGUGAGUAAACAUGUAAACAUACAAGCAUGCAAGUACACAAGCAAAUAAAAGCGAAUAAAGACUUAACUAUUACAUUCGGGGGUCCUAACUACAAUCUAAAGGGGUAAAAAAUGAAAUGAAAUAAAAAAAUAACCUAUAUAUUACAAUUUACCAUUUAAUCGCCUUUCAAAUAAUCAAAAAUUAAAUUAAAAUAAAUAUACAAAAUUAAAAACAAAUAAAGUGAAUAAAUAGAUAAAUAAAAUAAAAAAUAUUCAAAAAAACAUGCAAUUGCACACAUAAAAUUACAUAGGAGCAUAUAGGAUUUAAAAUAAAAUACCUCCCCUUGAAGUAGUAGCUAAUUGGUUUGGAUUUACCCUAUUUAAAGCUCCAAAAAUCAACAAAAAUCAUCAAGGUACCAAUUUAUUUAAUAAAUAAAUCAUAAGGAGAUGAAAAUAAAUAUGCAGUCUAUCAAUUAAGGCAUUCAAAUGGAAUAUAAUGAAUAAUCAAAAAAUAAAUGCAACUUCUAUUUGAGAAAUCAAACAACAAAGACUUAAUUACAAACAAUUGAGAAAAUUUAUGGAGUCAAAUUUUUAUUAUUACAAACUUUAGGGGUUGAAAUCAAAGCAAAUGCAAAUUAAAGUUCUAAAAACUAAUUAAGCUCUAAUUAUCUUCUAAACCAGAAAAUGAGACUUGCUUAAAACAUGGUUAAAACCAUAAGGAGAUGAUUGAAUUUCAAAAGGAUAAAAUUGAUUGAUUUUCCAUACUUUUGGGCCAUAGUGAAAACUUGAGGGGUUCAAAUGUAAUUUUUAAAAGUUCUGCAUACAAAGCCUCGAAGAAGCAGUCUGCAAUUGAAGCUUUCUGCGACUUUCUUCCUUCUUUUUUCGCUGGCAACUGAUUCAACACAAUCAAACAUAACUUCCGACUAGUGAAACUUUAGAAUUUCUUACGUGGGGGGCAGCCACGGAUUUAAGGGGGGGCUGGUGGGGGCUUAAGCCCCCCCCAAGCCGCCGGAAAACCCCCUAUAUAUAGUUACGAAUUUAAUAUAAAUAUAUUAAUAAACAUAUUUGGUGCUGAUUUCACCGUCUCUGGUGCUGAUGAAAUCCUCAAGGCUCUCUAAUAAAUUCCUUUGGAUGUAGCUUAUUAUUCUGAAGUUUGAGCUUUCAGCCUAAAACUAGUGCUUUAGUAUACAACGGGCGCUUUGUGCUUAAAUAUUUUGAAGAUGUGUUUUAUAAUGUAUUGUCUAAUAAAAAAGAGAGCUGUUCUGACUUGAGUAGAGGACGGCUCUCGUGUUUACAGGUUCCUUAAUUAAUUAGCCACAUCUUUGACCCAUUUUGUUGUUCAAAGCUGGACUCAAGCAAAGUUGAUCAGAGAGAGUUGAGCAAAGUAUAUCUAAAAACGUUGAAGUAAAAAAAAAGAUAAUAUCAUUAUAUAUAUAAUUAUGUAUAUAUAUAUUUUUUUUUUGUUUCAAACGAGUGACGGGGCGGGGGUUGGGGACGGGUGCCCGCCGGUCACCCGCCCCAUUGCCAUUCCUAGUGAUAUAUUCUCUUAUUGAUAGAUUGAUUAGAUUUGUUCUUACUCUUCCUGUAUUAACUGCAACUACAGAGUGGGUAUUUUCAAUUAUGAAAAUAAUCAAGACAAAGCUCCAAAACAAGAUGGAAGAUAAUUUCUUGAAUGAUUUGUCUAACUGUGUAUAUAGAAAAGGAAGUUGCUGAAAAUUUUAGCAGUGAGUCAAUCAUAAAUGAAUUUAGUUCUAUGAAAGAGCGUAGAGCUCAAUUUACUUCAAAAAAAAGAUGUUGAAAUUUCAAAGUAUGUUAACAUAACUUUUAUCUUUUUUCAAUUGAAAAUAGUUACAUUUAUAUUACAUGGUUAUAUAUAUAUAUAUAUAUAUAUAUAUAUAUAUAUAUUGCAUAGGUGACAUGUUGGAGAGCAUCUUCUCAUAAUGUGCAAAUUGGAUGGUUUGUGAUGUUAUAAGAUAUUUAAUCAAAUGUUAUCUUUUUUGUUAAUUUUUGUUAUGACUGUACCGCAUAUUUAUGAAUAGACAUACCUUUAUAAUUUAAUUUAAUAUUUGAUAUUUUUAGAUGUCAUAUAUUUAAAUAGAAGAAAAUUAUUUUGAACAUAAUAUAUUAAGAUAAUUUGAUUAGGAAAAAAUUUUGGCCCCCCCCCAAAAAAAUCCUGGCUCCGUCACUGGUGGGGGGGGAAGCAAACAUUUAGGCAAAACAUGUUACAAUGCUCUUAAUCAUCCAAAUGCAAAAGAGAUUUCCACGCAUCAGAUUCGAAUGAUUGUUGCAUUUUCUUAACUCAGUUCAUGGGUCUACUAUGUAUACAGCUCUGUCGAGAUUCAAGUCCAAACACAUACAAAAUCUAAACACUCAAGCACAUGAAAUCAACAUCCACUGAAGUAAAGGGGAUUUUAAACUAAUGUCUUGUGGGAACAUGGGGAAAAAGAAGACAGCAGAAAGCGAACAAACAAGAAAACAAAAAAAAAAAACAGCAGCAAAAAUCUCAACGUUUCUGUUCAAAAUCUAAAAAUAUCUAACUGGAAAAGGAUGAGAAUAUUACCUUAAUCAUGAAACAAAGCGUGGGAAGACCAAAGAAAAGGACUUAGAUGGAUCUGCCGGAUUUUCGAAGGUGCGCCAGUGGAAACCAGUGAUGACGACCCAGUAAGUUGAGGGUUUAAUUCAAAGGAUUUUGAGGCAUUUUCCGAAAAUAAUUUCUGAAUGAAAAUUUGUUCCCUCACUUCAUAGAUAUCCUAGAUCUCUUAAAACAUCCAAGAAGAGGCCGAUUCAGUGGAGAAAAUUACCUCCAAAAGUGACAGAAAAUCAGCCUGAACUGCAAAAAAUUUUCCCUCUUCCCUCUUUUCUAUCUUUUCUUUCUUCCUUUCAUUUUUCUUCCUGUUUUUCCUCUCUGAUCAUCCCAGACUUCCCCUCCUCCUUCCUUUCUCUUCUCUUUUCCUUUUUCCUUCUCUUCCCUUGCUUGUUUCUUCUUCCCCCGAAGCUCCCCUCUCCUCCUUUCUUUCUUGCUUUAUUUUUCAAUUUCCCUGGUUCUUCCUUUCUACCACCCCAAUCUCUCUCUUUCUCACUCUCCUCAGAUGCUCCUUCUCCUCCUCCCUUGUUUGUUUCCUUUUUCCUCUUCCUCUCUUUCCUCCUUGCCUAGCCCCUGCAACCUUCUUUUUUUCCUCUCUCUUUUUCUUUCUCAGCCCCCAAAACCCUCUUUUCCUCCUCCCUUUUCUUUCUUUUUCCCCUGCCCGUAGCUCUUUCUUUCUUUCUUGCUCCCCAGAUUUUCGAGGUUCUGUCGGUCUUUCUUUUUUCUUUCUUCCCCUCCCCGCAGCCUUUUUCUUCCUCCUUUCUCAACCCCAAAACCCUCUUUUUCUCUUCCCUUUUUCCUUACCCAGCC